UCUUCUUUAUACGAAAAAAUUCUACUGAAGCGCUACAAUGUCUCCUCCCUUAUUCAAACCUAAGCAUUACCAUCUUCCCUGCAUAAUGCAGCAUGCAGCAAAAUUCUAAAGCUAAGCCAAAGAAGCAUUUUCUCGCUAGGGUUUAUGAGCUGUUUGGAUACCGAGAAAAUGUCAAUCGGUUCUUCGAUCUCAACACCGAAGCUAAGAUCCCUCUCAUCCGUUUGGGAACAUGGCAGUCCGAUCCUGGCCUCAUCGGUGAAGCUAUUGCUGCUCCCAUCAAGGUUUCCCCGUAAUCUUUAUUCAUGCUUUCAGAUUCGCUUUUUUCUUUUAUUUUUUUCAUUUUUAAAAUUAUUUAUGUUGAAUUUGAUAGGGCUUCUUCAAUUUGUUGGAUGUUUGUCAGUACUAUUAAUCACUCUACUAACUAAUCUUUUUGUUUCUUUUAGCAUUUUUUUAGCUAUUAUGUUAUCAAUUUUCACACUUACAAGGUUUGGAAAUCUCGUAUUUCAAUAUAAUGAUAUUUGAUUAAUCAAUUUGGUACAAGUUAUUACCGCCACGUUGAUUGUGCUCAAAUCUAUGGCAACAAGAAGGAGGUAGUUCUCACAACUAGGUGUUUAUUUGUUUGUGUUGUGUUCAUUUGGUGUCUGUAUUAUCUUGAUUCAAAAGAAUUAACUACCUAUUUGAUAAUAAAUGAUUAAAAGAAGUAUUUUGGUCGUGUCUUAUAUGAGAAGAGAAUGAUGCGUUCUUUCUAUUGCUGAUCGGCUCUGUGUUGAAGAUGUUGUUUGAGGAGGGUGUAGUGAAGCAUGAGGAUAUGUGGAUUACUUCUAAGCUCUGGUUUGUUAUUAGAUUUUAGAUUAAUUAGUUUGGUUUCCAUGUUUAUGAUAAUUUAAUAAUGCUGGUAAAUUCUGUAACUGUUUGGUGUUAAAAGUUUUUGCAUAAUUGAUGAUUGUUUUUGACUUUGUUCAGUAUAUCUACCCUUUAUAAUCUUCAGCUAACCAAGGUUCAUAGUACUAAUGUGCAAGAAGAAGUCCAGAGAAUAAGAAAAGAACACCCGGAUGAUGCUUGGAGAUAAAUAAUACAACAUUCAUCUACUUUUUUUAAAUGAUUUACUCAAAAAUACCAAGUUUUUUUCUUUUAUUUUAUUUUAUUUCCACUGAAAAAGUGUAUAGAUCCUUGUUACUACCUAAAGUAUACUCAACCAUUUAUAUAAUCUCAUGUUAGAAUAAUUAUAAUUAUGUAUUUUGUCACAUGUUACUUAGAUUAUUUUGGUCUAUCAAGUUAUGUUGUGCACAUAUGUAGCUUGAAUUUUUUGUAUAGCAGGUGAAUCUAUUAUCUCUCCGGGUGCCAAGCAAGGAUUAAUCCCUCUUACUAUACCACUGUCAAAAAAUAGCUCAGGUACUGUAACUGCACUGUUAAGGUGGCCCACGGCUCCACCUGAGAUGGAAAUGCCUGUGGUGGAAGUCAGAGAACAUGGAGUGUGGCUUCUAGCUAAGAGUGUAUCUUUGAGCGGUUUCGUGAAAUUCUUAAUGAAGGAGAAAUUGACAAACGAGUUCAGUUUCUAAUUGAAGGCUUAUUUGCAAUUAGAAAAGCCAAGUUUCAGGGCUAUCCAGCUGUUCGUCCUGAGCUGGACCUUGUGGAGCAUGAAGAUCAGUUAACUCAUGAAUUUGGUCGUCAAUUAUAUUCUCUUUGGCGGAAACAUAAUGUGUCAAUCACUACUUUACUGUAAUGUUGUCACUAAGUACCUUUUCAUGUCAGCAGCUAAAGAAAACUCAUCAGAGCCCCAGAUCUUUUUUGCAUCAUUACAGUAAAAGAUAUGUACAAAGCUAGAUUGUCCCUGUAUGGACGUCUUAAACUGCCUAUUUAUCAAGUUUUUUCUUUUUGAAUGAUUUAGUAAUGUUGUAUUCUUG